GCCCGCCGGCCCCCCUGUUCCUCCUUUAAACCUCCCGCUACGUGCAGCGAGGAGGCGAGGCGCUCCUCUCCAGCCAUUCGCCAGCGCCGUGGACCCGAGCGAAUAGAGUACGAGGAGAGCAGGCCGAGGAAUCUGGGAACGUGCGCGCUCGCAGGUCGCUGCCGAUCGAUCGAUCGAUCGGGGGGCUCGAGCUCGGAGCCGAACCCGCCGCGCCGUUUUGUAUUCGCCCCGUGGCGGCGCGUCCGAGAUCCCCGUCACGAGCGGAACCCUGCCGCGGAUCCCCGGGCGUCGCCUCGCGGUGUCACAGGCGGCACGUGGGGGCGCGUCCCCCCCCCCCCCCCCCCCCCCCCCCCGCCGCCGGCCGCCGCCCGCGCGAUAAAGCAGCCCGUGGGAGGUGAUCCUGCGCAGGGAAGGGAGGGGGGAGCCGCUGGGAGCCAUGGCGGAGCAGGAGGACGGGAGCAGGAGGCGGCGGGAGGCGGAGGCGCCGGUCGUGGCGCUGGAGUGCGUGGCGGGGAGCUCCAAGGCGGAGGAGUGGGGCGGCGGCGGCGGCGUCGUGCAGGAGGGGGACGUGGUGGAGGCCGUCCGCGUGGGGCGCGGCUCCGGUGGCGGGGGCGCCGCGGCCGCGCUGGAGCUGGAGGCGCCGUUCAAGGGCGGCCGCGCCGGGUUGCACAAGGCUCUGCACGCGGCGUUCAAGCGCGGGGACACCUCCGUGGAGGUGCGCGUGCGGGGAGGCCGGGAGCUGCAGGCCUGCAUCGUGCCGCACCAUGGCAGCCCCGGCGGCGGCGGCGGAGGGGGCAGGAAGCAGUACGUCCUGCGGUCCCUGCACGACCCCAACUACUUGCUCGGAUUCGUCGACCGCCUCGAGAGCGAGUGCCUCGUCCUGCAAGGCACGAGGAGCACAAGAGUUGCAUCAGCAUUGAGCAAGGCACAACUCCAGGAUGGGUACGUGGCAUAUCCAUGGGAGACGAAGAUGCGUGACACACUGCGCUUGCCCAACUCUAGCUGCUACCUCUCGAUGCUCGUCCUUCCCAAGGCUCUGGACUCCAACGCUUGUCGCUAUGAGUCCUUUGACAACACACUGGCGCGUGCCAGUGCAUGGCUCUACUCGGCGCAGGCCUCGGGCAUCCCCGUUGAUUUCAUGAAUGUGCAGAGUGAAGCUCUUCUCACCAAGAUAUCCGGAGAGACAGCGUCUUCAACUGUCAAUUCAGGUUCAUUAUCUGAUCUGUCGAAUGUCACUAAUGCGACGCUCUACGGUUUCGAGGAUUACCAUGGGGUGGACAUUGGUGUGGUAAAGGCAGCACGGCUGUGGUACAGCUGCAUAGGAGGAGAAUUGCUGCUGGAGAUACCACUUGAAGAAUGUGACACGAGGCUUGGCUUUGCCAUCAGCCGAACUGAAGAGGGUUUUAUCUACAUAUCCUCCGUGGUUGUCGACGACAAAGAAUGCGAGGCACCGUCAUCGCGAUCCGGGCUCCGUGAUCUGUUCAACCGGGCCAAAGAGGCGUCGAAGCUGCUGGUCAUCUCAAGGGUGUCCAACGAGAAAGUCCUUCCCUGGAUGAUCUCCACUUCAGGGGCAGUCCGUUGCUUUGACACCAUCUCCCUCAGCCAGAAGCUCUCCUUGCACCGCCUCGCGGUGCGCCCUAUCCAGCUGCAUUUUCUCGCAUGGGAGAAGCCUGCUGGUCCAGUGGAGAGGAUCAUUCGUUCACCGAAGCUACCCCCGCCUUCAACGCUGCUCCCUCAGCCACACCAAACCCUCAUGGUGGAGAGCGUCGAGCCUAGACUAGAUGCUGAACAGGACUAUGUGGGGGAUCUGUCGUUUCGGCUCGAUGAUCUCUCAUUUGAGAGCAGCUGGGUGUGAUUACAGAUUUCAGUUUUUUCAUACAGCCAUCUGAUGUGCAUAUGUAUGUUUUGCUCUUCUCUAGUUCUCUAGGGCGGUAUGCUCAGUUUUGUGCUGCAGGAAUGCAGACGCCUCCUUGGAAAUGUUCAGAACCUUUCUGGGUUCCUGGCCAAAUCAGGGAUGAGGCUUUCAUAGCAUCUGAAAAUUAUGUUUUGUUUUACUGCAAAAUCUACGGCAAACAAAUGGUUCAGCAUAUCUGAAAUUACUUUACUUUGGUCAAGACAAAAAAGAAAAAAGAAGAAGUUACACUUGGAAGUUGGCACCAGACAAGCUGUUGGUCAAAUAAAGCUGAGAUAUGAGACAUUUAUGAAGCUGAUCAUGUAGAUGUCCUCCAUGUACAUCUGAUCAAAUGCGCGGCCGUCUUCGAUGCGCAGGAUCGUCAGCGGCGGGCCGAAGGAGAAGGCCAGCAGGUGGAGCAGCCAGACGCACUUGGCGGCGACGAAGAAGCACUGCAGCAGCUGCUCGGGCCACGGCCGGGACCAGCUCAGCGUUGCCACGACGCCGCUCAUCUUCCGGUCGCAGAACCGGCUGAAGUCCUCGCUGUAGUACUUGGUGCCCUUCCUCAGCACCUCGUUCCAGCUUAGGUUGCGCAGCGCCACGAAGGCGGCGAAGCUCUGCCGGCGGUCCUCCGCGGGGUCGAGGCACCUCGGCGCGCCGUUCCGCUGGAACGCGGGGUUCUCGAAGUCCUGGUACAUGGCCUGGUUCAUGAUCGCCUCGAGGUGGUACAGCACGACCUUCGAGCAGUGCUUGCCGACGCCGCCGGCGAGCGCGAGCUGGUACGGCCGCAGGAGCUGGUUCAGCUUGUCGGACAGGCCGUCGCCGGCUUCUUCAUUCACCUGCUGGAUCAGCGCCUUGCAGAGCUGCUUCACCGAGAGCCGGGCCUCCGACGCGAUCUGCAAGAAGCCUUCCACCAUCACGUCGUGGCUCACCGGCAUCGGGAGCUCUCGGCUUGCCUCGAUCGAUCUCGUCGAUCUCCGGGAGACGGACGGCGAGUUGGUGGCCUGCCGCAGCGCCUUCUUGAGCUCCGUGCAGUACGCUUCCACGCUCACCAGCUUGGUGGCCAGCUCCCCCAGCGACGACCUCACCUCCGCGGCUUCGCGGAGCGCGGCGUCACGGUGAGCGUUGGCCUCCGCGAGCUCCUUCUUGAGGGACUCGAGGGACAGCGCCCCCCACUCCGUCAGAAGCUGCGACAUGUUGCCGCGCUCGAUGGCGGUCGGCGACGUCAUCUCCGGCGGCUUGGCUUUCUUCCUCGACUUGGGGAAGAGCCACGAGAGGAUCUGCGGCGCUCUGUUCUUUGUCCGGGAGUGCGCCGACGGGGGCGGCAUCCUGCUGCUGCUGAUCGUCGCAGGCCGGAUCGCAUUGUUGCACGUCGCCGGCGGCAGCUUGAGCUCAGACGUGUGGCCCGCCCGGCCGGUGGACAGGAGGAAGCGGUCGGCCGAGGGCGCGGAGUGCAUGAAGGCCGGGUGGAUCUUGUACGCCGCGCCUCUGUUCCUUAGGCAGGGGUCGUUGGAGGAAGGGAAGAGCACCUCGCUGUUGGAGGACGAGAAGGCGUUGAGACCGUCGUAGUCAGACAGGGCCGCGUCGUUGCAGCCGCCGUGGUCCAGGGCGACGCCGGCCCAGUUCUCCGACCGGCUCCGGUUGUCCUGGCAAAUAUGGUUCAGUGCAGCCGCGGCCGCGCACUCCUCGUCGUCGUAGACCUGGCCGAGCACGGCAGCCAAGCAAUAUAAGAGACGCCAUUGUCAGUGACGGUGAGCUUGAGGCAUUAAGGCCGCACAGCCAUGUAACCAACACUUGUUUUAAGGAAGCUAGCUCACCGGAGUAAACACGGGGUACUCCUCGUCCGCCGUCCUGGAGCGCGCUGGGGACGCGACCGGCGGGAGGCGGAUGACAGCCGGGCUGCGGCUGGCGCCGGGCCCGGCGCGGGCAUUGGGCGCGCCGCGCUGGAGGAGGGCUGCGUGGAGCUGGCGCAGCUCGACGGCCUUGGCGAUGGCCGCCUGGACGUCCUGGCGCGAGGCCGGGGCGCGGGACGGGGACGGCGCCGCGGGGUCGAAGCACUCAGUGCCGGCGCCGGCCACGGCCAUGGCGGCGGUGGCGGGUCAAAGGCUGGGAUGCCCCUUUGGCUCCAAGGCUCCGCACGGGAAGAGUGAGGAGAAGGAAUGGGCGAAGAACAGAAAACAGUAGCAGAGAAUUCUUGAGAGGGGGGAGAGGUGGGUGAAGUGGUGGAGGUGGAGGGAACAGCACAUUUGAAGAGAUUGACAGUGCCUGCAGCGUCUUCUGGGCAUUUUUUUUAAUCUUUGCUACAAUAGUAAACUCGACAGUUACUUUUGAUUUGCGGCAUGGCAGUAAGCCUUGUUUAAAAAAACCGAAACAGAAAGCUGCUGCCUGAAUCUGUGGAAAUCUAACUUCUUUUUUACGAAA